UGUGUGUGCGUGUGCAUGUUAUAGUACUGACUGUGUUGUCCUGUUGUGGAUCUAUGGCAGUGUCGAGGCUGGUAGCGUUGAACAAGGAGACUGUGGGAGUGGUCAGCUUUCUGGUGAUCUACCCCCUCUACCUGCCACUCUUUAUUCUCUUCCGGAUGAGCCAUAGCAAGUGUGACAGUAGAGCAGGUGUCCUCCCAGGUGGAUUAAGAGUCAGGGGAGAUCGAUUACUUCCUGGAUAAAUCCAUGGCAGGAAGCUCCUUCCUCAUCUACAAAGGGAUUCCUGGAGAGGUACGUGUGUGUAAUGUACACACACUUUUCCUCUCUCUAAUAGUUGUCCUCUGUUUUCUUUUUUCCUCUGUUUCUGGCUGUUCAAAAUGUGUUUUCAGGUUUAAGCAGAGUUCAUGCAGAUAACUAACUUGCCUCUGCAAACAAAGCUCAUGGCACAACGGGACCAGUAUUCGGAUAACCUGAGGAAGGCAGUCCGCACCAAAGGAGGAGUUGCAUGAAUGAAGAUCGGCAACAUUACGGCAGCCACAGCUGAGAACUGCGACAUGGCUGAGUCUGAGAAGGAGAUAGCGUAGACUGUCAUGGGGAUUUACGUCAUCCGAGGAAGAUCCAGAUGACGUCAGAAUUGUGAUUGAGGGUGUGAGGUUCUCAUCGACCUGGGAAGCGGAGCCUUAGGAUGUGCCAUGUUGUUUGGUUGAUCUAUGCACUCAACCUGAGCUACACACAGCACCUCAAAUGCACUUUGAUGUGUUCCAGAAGAUUCUAAUUAACUUGGAUGGAAACAAGCUUUCACCAAACAUCCAACCACUCAAGACCAACAUUUUUCAGUGAUCAACUAAAAGGAGAAAGUGACAGUUUGCAGUCAACUGACAGAGUUUGCCCUUGUCUUUAGGGCAAAUGUCUGAACAGAGAUGUUUAUUUAACCAUUAUUUCACUCUUUUAUGGCAGCUUUGGAGCAGUGGCUUCUUCCUUGCUGAGCAGCCUUUCAGGUUAGGUCGACAUAGGACUUGUUUUACUGUGGAUAUAGAUACUUUUGUACCUGUUUCCUCCAGCAUCUUUUUUUACCUUUAUUUAACUAGGCAAGUCAGUUAAGAACAAAUUGUUAUUUUCAAUGAUGGCCUAGGAACAGUGGGUUAACUGCCUUGUUCAGUGGCAGAACGACAGAUUUGUACCUUGUCAGCUCGGUGAUUCGAUCUUGCCACCUUUCAACUACUAGUCAAACGCUUGAACCACUAGGCUAUGCUGCCACCCCAAGGUCCUUCGCUGUUGUUCUGGGAUUGAUUUCCACUUUUCACACCAAAGUGCCUUCAUCUCUAGGAGACAGAACAUGUCUCCUUCCUGAGCGGUAU